rnacentral:rRNA from 1 species
AGAACGAACGCUGGCGGCAGGCUUAACACAUGCAAGUCGAACGGUGUAGCAAUACACAGUGGCGCACGGGUGAGUAACGCGUGGGAACGUGCCCUUGAGUACGGAAUAACAGCGGGAAACUGCUGCUAAUACCGUAUAUUCUCUACGGAGGAAAGAUUUAUCGCUCAAGGAUCGGCCCGCGUCAGAUUAGCUAGUUGGUGGGGUAAUGGCCUACCAAGGCUCCGAUCUGUAGCUGUUCUGAGAGGAAGAUCAGCCACACUGGAACUGAGACACGGUCCAGACUCCUACGGGAGGCAGCAGUGGGGAAUAUUGGACAAUGGGGGGAAACCCUGAUCCAGCCAUGCCGCGUGAGUGAUGAAGGCCUUAGGGUUGUAAAGUCUCUUUUACCGAGGGAAGAUGAUGACGGUACCGUGGGGAAUAAGCACCGGCUAACUUCGCGCCAGCAGCCGC